UACGUAGGGGGCAAGCGUUGUCCGGAUUUACUGGGCGUAAGGAGCGUGUAGGCGGCCAAACAGGUCCGUUGUGAAAACUGGAGGCUCAACCUCCAGACGUCGACGGAAACCGUAUGGCUAGAGUCCGGAAGAGGAGAGUGGAAUUCCUGGUGUAGCGGUGAAAUGCGCAGAUAUCAGGAAGAACACCAAUGGCGAAGGCAGCUCUCUGGGACGGUACCGACGCUGAGACGCGAAAGCGUGGGGAGCGAACAGG
rnacentral:rRNA from 1 species